AAAUCGAGAUAUCGUUUCGCAUUCUCUAUAUGUCGAUUUGAUCUCCGCUUCGCUUGGAGUUCUAUUCUCUGGUUUCUACUAUACUCCUAAGCGAAGGAUCACCAUAAUCAUGAUGCUCUUCAUGAACGGCGUCGUGGAUUCGGCAUGAACAAAGGCGGUUCGUGGAUUCGGAUCGUUGGCUCGUGGAUUCGAGUGGCGUCGUGGAUUCGGCAUGAUUGAAGGCGGUUCGUGGAUUCGGAUCGUUGGCUCGUGGAUUCGAGUGGCGUCGUGGAUUCGGCGUGAUUGAAGCUUCGUGGAUUCGGAGUGAAGGCGUUUCGUGGAUUCGGAACGUGGCGUUCGUGGAUUCGAACGUGAGGGCGUGGACAACCCGGAGGAUAGCGCGAAGAUUCAUAGGAGGUUAAAAGAGGUUGAGUCCGUGGAGUCGGUAAUCACCUUAUAAUCUUUUCUCUUAGUGAAUUAUUUUUUCGCGUGUUGGUCCCGUGGGUUUUUCUCCAAGUUGGAGUUUUUCCACGUAAAUCUCAGUAUGCUUUUUAUUUCCCGCAUUUAUUUUUAUUGCAUCGAGAUUUGUGGUUUUUGGCCGUUCACCUAUUCACCCCCCUCUAGGUGAUAGAUACAAUCUAGAUAGAUCCUUGGGCUCCUCAAAACUUUCAAUUGGUAUCAGAGCGGGAUCUAGAUAUAUUGAUAUCUAAUGGCCGAAGGCGGUAACAUUAAUCGACCACCACUCUUCGAUGGCACGAAUUAUGCCUAUUGGAAAGUUCGCAUGAGAGCUUUUCUAAUCGCAAUCGAUGAGCGGGCAUGGAAAGCUAUUGAAUUCGGAUGGAAACA
rnacentral:lncRNA from 1 species